rnacentral:rRNA from 1 species
AUUGAACGCUGGCGGCAGGCUUAACACAUGCAAGUCGAACGAGUGGCGGACGGGUGAGUAAUGCUUGGGAAUCUAGCUUAUGGAGGGGGAUAACUACGGGAAACUGUAGCUAAUACCGCGUACCAUAGGAUGAGCCCAAGUGGGAUUAGGUAGUUGGUGAGGUAAAGGCUCACCAAGCCGACGAUCUCUAGCUGGUCUGAGCGGAUGAUCAGCUACACUGGGACCGAGAGACGUCCCAGACGCCAACGGAGGGCAGGAGUGGGGAAUAGGGCGCAAUGGGGGCAAGAUGAUGCAUCCAGGCCGCGUGAAGGAAGAAUGCAUUCGGGUUUUAAAGUUCUUUCGGUUGCGAGUCGUGAACUGCAGAAGAAGCACCGGCUAACUCCGUGCCAGCCGCCGCGGUAAUUC